rnacentral:rRNA from 1 species
AGGGAGAGGCCUCCUCUCGGGGCGCACGCGUCCCGAGGCGAGAGGGCCGGAGGCCGGGUCAGCCGUCGAGGCCCCGCGCCCCCCGGUCGGAGACUCGGGCGGCCGAGUCUCCGCUCCCGCCAGCGAUCGAUGUGGCAACCCGCGCCCGGGGCGGGGAGGGCC